UUAAAGUUUGAUUUUUGCCUAGUAAUUUUGUUUUAUAAUUAACUAAUAUAUGCAAAUUUUAGUGGUUGAAAUUUACUUAAAGUAAAUUAAAUAGAAGCAAUAUUUAAUAUUAAAAAAUAAGGUCAUUCUUGAAUUGGUAAAUUAUAGUAAAUCUGAGAAAAUUUUGUGCCAGCAGUCGCGGUUAAACUUGGAGGUUAAAUAAAAUUUAUUAGUUAAAGUUAAUUGGAUUAAAUUUUAAAUAGGAUUUUAUAUUAAUAAAAAGUGAAAUUAGGUUAUUAAAUGUGAAAUUUUAUUUAAUUAUAAUAUAGUGAAGCUUAAAAAAUUAAGGUAUGAAUUAGGAUUAGAUACCCUAGUACACUUAAAUUUAAUUGUAAGAAACUAGAAUAUUAAAAGUUAUAUUCUUUAAAUUUAAAAAAUUUGGCGGUAUUUUAGUCUAGUUAGAGGAACCUGUUUUUUAAACGAUAAAACACGUAUUAUCUUACUUAUUUUAGUAAAUCAGCUUGUAUACCGUCAUUAUAAGAUAAUUUAAGAGAGAAUAUUAUUAGAAUCAUGUUAUGUGAGUAUAUUAGAUCAAGGUGCAGCUUAUGAGUAAGUAAAAAUGGGUUACAAUAAAUUUUAUUUAUACGGAUUUAAUAUUUAAAUAUUUUAAUGAAGGAGGAUUUGAUUGUAAAAUAAAAAUUAAUAAGUUUUUUUGAUAGAAGCUCUAAAUUAUGUACAUAUCGCCCGUCGCUUUCAUUUAAGGUGAAAUAAGUCGUAACAUAGUAGAGGUGCUGGAAAGCGUCUCUAGAAUUAA
rnacentral:ncRNA from 1 species